rnacentral:rRNA from 1 species
UACGUAGGGUGCAAGCGUUGUCCGGAAUUAUUGGGCGUAAAGAGCUCGUAGGCGGUCUGUCGCGUCGAAUGUGAAAACCCGGGACUCAACUCCGGGCCUGCAUUCGAUACGGGCAGACUAGAGUUCGGUAGGGGAGACUGGGAUUCCUGGUGUAGCGGUGAAAUGCGCAGAUAUCAGGAGGAACACCGGUGGCGAAGGCGGGUCUCUGGGCCGAUACUGACGCUGAGGAGCGAAAGCGUGGGGAGCAAACAGG